AAAAACCCCUGUUGCAGCCCCCUUAUUGCAGCGUACAUGUAUUAAUACGCUUCAACAACCAUUUGGUCAACGCGGGUCAAACCCUUUAAAGGGUUGUUGCAGCGUACAAAUUAAUUGCCCCCUGCAAAAGAGUUUUUUGCAGCGUACAUAGUAAAAGCCCCCUGCAACAGCCUUUUUAUUUUGCAGCGUAAAGGGUAAAUGCCCCUGCAAUAGCAUUUUAGUAAUUUUUUUCGCUGCAACGUUAAUUUAGACCAAACAUUUCUAUCUCAAACCUCAACACCAAUUUCGCAAUUCAUAUCCCCGCUCAAUACUCCCUUCUUCUUCCCUCAUCUUUCCCUGUGUCUCGCCCAUCGCUGGUGGUUCUCGCCAGUCGUCUUCGCCGUCGCCGCUGGGUCUCGCCCGUCGCCGGUGGUACUCUACCAAGAGUCUAUUUCCUCGCCUCCUCACCGGUGGUUCCCUUCUCGGAAAACCACCGCAUAAGUUAUUCCCUGCUCGAAAACCACCGGUGAAGUCAUUCCCCACUCGAAAAACUAAGCUGCUUUGCUCGGUUGCUGGUUUUAAUCUCCGUCAUCCUCCUCGCCGCGGCCGACCGGUCAUCUUCCCUGUCCAAUCAGAUGCGUUGGAAGAAGACUUGAUCCAGUGACAGGGAAGAUUUACAACGUUAUAAAUUUUCCUCUUGAGCUAAGGAAAUAAAAUCAAGACUUGUCACUCGUGCUGAUGACACCGAGGAAAAAGUCUACACUCCGAGGAUUGCGCCUUAUGCGAGGAAUUUGAUGUGGUUCGUGAGCAAUGGGCUAAGUUUUUUACCAACAAGUAUUUAUUAUUGGCUUUAGCGCGCUUGAUCGAGUUGGUUUAGUUGUUAUAGAAUAAAUUUUAUAUUAAAAUGUAUGUUUAUGUUGAAAUUGGAACAUAUAUUUAAAUGUAAUAUGUGCACUUUGGUUUUGGGAUAUAUAGUAUACAAAACUCCAGUUGUUGUUUUUAUAUUUGUUAUACAGGUUGCGUUAUUCUAUUAUUGUUUUGACAGGUUUCGAUCUAUAUUUGGUGCAAGGCACUCUAGGUAUCCCUAAACAAAAUUAGAAUUUUCCCGCCAAAAGUGCUUUUUUGCAGCGUACAUAUAUGUUGUACGCUGCAACAAGGGAAAAAAAUUUGGCAAAAAUUCAGACUUGUUGCAGCGUACAAAUAAAUGUACGCUGCAAAAAAUUGAGUAAUUCAGACUUGUUGCAGCGUACAAAUAAAUGUACGCUGCAAAAAGUUGAGUCUUUUGCAGCGUACAUAUAUAUGUACGCUGCAACAAGUCCAAAAUUUUGCCAAUUUUUUGGCACUUGUUGCAGCGUACAUCUAAAAGCCCGCUGCAA